GCUUCUUAAAUUUUAAUAAGAAGAGUACUCUGAAAAAAGUCGAAAAUAUAAUCGGAAGUGGUGCAAAGUUAGCAUUUUCAUGCUGGCACCUUUUUGAGUGUAGCGCGCCGUUAGCGUGGUCACGUGACAGAAAUAUGGCCGCCGUGCAUGACAACACAUGGAACUAACCGCAACAGUGCUACUAUGUACGCAAACCAUCGUUCGAAGUUAUAAAUCGUGAUAGAACGUUCAUCUUUCCUAUUAAUUACAAGAUAAUUAAUUUAUCUCGUGUUCAACAGACGGUAAAAACAAAAGGAAUGCUGGCAUACGAAGCAUUAUGUGUUAUAUUAUAAUACGCUGGCGAAUGGCGAAGCUUGGUCCUCGCCAAAUUUUCUGAAAAGACGUGUGUGAAAGAGACGCAGAGCAUAUUUGGCAAAUUUCUGCUGCCAGUUGAGUGUGCCGCAUGAAACACAGAUCAAAAAAAACCGUAGAAAAGCGGAUGACAUGCUUCGCCACCAGUUACUAGAAGAAGGAAGGAGGGUGAGUGAAGGAGCAGAGAGUGUUUGUGGAAUUUCUGAUGCCAGUGCCUUUUGCCACAUGAAAAGAGAUCAACAGAAAGUGUCGAAAAGUGGAUGACAUGC